rnacentral:rRNA from 1 species
GCACUAGACCAGUUGACAUCCUUCAGGUGGACUCAAGACUGCAAUCGCGUGUCGCCCUUCAUUAUAUCAGUUAUAGUUUAUUAGAAAUAAUUUACUACUUGGAUAACCGUAGUAAUUCUAGGGCUAAUACAUGAGUAAAUCCUCGACUUUGAAGAGGUGUGUUUAUUAGUAUGAAAACCAUAUGCUUUUGCAUGAUAGUGAGUAAUAAUAACCUUUCAUAUCGCCUGUUUUUAAUAGCGAUAGUUCUUUCAAGUUUCUGCCCUAUCAGCUUUCGAUGGUAGUGUAUUGGACUACCAUGGCAGUAACGGGUAACGAAGAAUUUGGGUUCGAUUUCGGAGAGGGAGCCUGAGAGAUGGCUACCACAUCCAAGGAAGGCAGCAGGCGCGUAAAUUACCCAAUCCUGACAUAGGGAGGUAGUGACAAUAAAUCACAAUGCGGGACUUUUUAGUUUUGCAAUUGGAUUGAGAACAAUGUACAAGAGUUAUCGAUAAACAAUUGGAGGGCAAGUCUGGUGCCAGCAGCCGCGGUAAUUCCAGCUCCAAUAGCGUAUAUUAACGUUGUUGCAGUUAAAAAGCUCAAGGGCGACACGCGAUUGCAGUGUAACACGAGUGAUCCUGAGUU